AUCGCCGCAAGCAUCGGGCUGAGCGCGGCCGAGCUGCAGGAUGAGAUCUGCAGGCACCUGGCCCAAGACUGCCCCGUGCUGCUGGAGAGGCUCUGGAGCACAGCCCGGAGCUGCUGCAUGGGGAGCUGCGUGGCGCCGCAGGCAGCAGCCGUCCACGUCCUGGGCCUCCUCCUGGACACAGUGCCGACCGCGUGGCUGCAACAGCAGGACCUGGCGUUC